rnacentral:rRNA from 1 species
GACGAACGCUGGCGGCGUGCUUAACACAUGCAAGUCGUACGGUAAGGCCCUUUCGGGGGUACACGAGUGGCGAACGGGUGAGUAACACGUGAGUAACCUGCCCACAACUUUGGGAUAACGCUAGGAAACUGGUGCUAAUACUGGAUAUGUGCUCCUGCUGCAUGGUGGGGGUUGGAAAGCUCCGGCGGUUGUGGAUGGACUCGCGGCCUAUCAGCUUGUUGGUGGGGUAGUGGCCUACCAAGGCGGCGACGGGUAGCCGGCCUGAGAGGGUGACCGGCCACAUUGGGACGGGAAUACGGCCCAGACCCCUACGGGGGGCAGCAGGGGGGAAUAUUGCAAAAUGGGCGAAAGCCUGAUGCAGCAACGCCGCGGGGGGGAUGACGGCCUUCGGGUUUGAAACCGCUUUCAGCAGGGACGAAGCUUUUUGUGGCGGUACCUGCAGAAGAAGCACCGGCUAACUACGU